rnacentral:rRNA from 1 species
AGUGAACGCUGGCGGCGUGCUUAACACAUGCAAGUCGAACGAGAACGGAUUAUAGCUUGCUAUAAUUGUCAGCUAAGUGGCGCACGGGUGAGUAAUGUAUAGGUAAUAUGCCUCUUACUAAGGGAUAACAAAUGGAAACGUUUGCUAAUACCUUAUACUCCUUAUUAACAGAAGUUAAUAAGGGAAAGAUUUAUUGGUAAGAGAUUAGCCUGUAUUGUAUCAGUUAGUUGGUGGGGUAAUGGCUUACCAAGACUAUGACACAUAACUGGUUUGAGAGGAUGAUCAGUCACACUGGAACUGAGACACGGUCCAGACUCCUACGGGAGGCAGCGGUGGGGAAUAUUGCACAAUGGACGAAAGUCUGAUGCAGCAACGCCGCGUGGAGGAUGACACAUUUCGGUGCGUAAGCUCCUUUUAUAUGAGAAGAUAAUGACGGUAUUAUAUGAAUAAGCACCGGCUAACUCCGUGCCAGCAGCCGCGGUAA